AAAAAAUAAGUAUGCAUUAACGAAAAUGGAUUUCACCGUGAGCAGCAGCUGGAACAAAACAAGUGCUACAUUUUUCAUUCAAACGUUUCAGCCCUUGCAUCAAAAAGCAAAAGGAAAAAAAUAAAUAAGCUUCAGCCAAUUCCAAGCAGCGUUCCCAAGCAAAAGAAAAAUAACAUUCCAAGAUCUCCAAAGAAAAAAAAAACGAAACGUUCUAGCACCGAGAGUUGAAUGGCAGCAGCUAGCCUCCUCAAAAUAACGUUUCCAGCUCUCCUAAUGUUCCCAGCAGCCCUCCAAAAUGAAGUCUCCACUGCAGCUAAAAAAAAAUGCCGAGAGAAUUCCCCUGCACCAAAUUGCCGAGAGAAUGAAUAUUGGUGCCAAAAAUGAAAGUGAAAUCCUGGAGUAAGUGACACUAGUUAAAGAAUGUUGCAGCACCCCUCCAAAUUGAAUUCUAAAGUGUGACGACCUUUUAUCUAGGGCACCGUCCCUCCCUUUAUCUUUUUUUUUUUCUUUUUCCUUUUUUUUCUUCUUU
rnacentral:lncRNA from 1 species